rnacentral:rRNA from 1 species
CCAGCAGCCGCGGUAAUUCCAGCUCCAAUAGCGUAUAUUAAAGUUGUUGCAGUUAAAAAGCUCGUAGUCGAAUUUCGGACGAGGCACUAAGGUCUACCUGUAUGGUUAGACUUGUGUGUCGAGUCUUUUUUUCUAGGUUCUCUAUUAGCCUUCUGGGUGUGUAGAGGUGUCUAGGACUUUUACUUUGAAGAAAUUAGAGUGUUUAAGGCAGGCUUGUGCUUGAAUACAUUAGCAUGGAAUAAUAAAAUAGGACUUUGGUUUUAUUUUGUUGGUUUUAAAAACUAAAGUAAUGAUUAAUAGGGAUAGUCGGGGGCGUUAGUAUUUAGUAGUCAGAGGUGAAAUUCUUGGAUUUACUAAAGACUA